AUACCAUGUGUGUAGUGAGUGCAUGUGCCGUGUAUGUGCUGCACUAUAUGUGUAUUAAGUUGCCAUGUAUUAAGGGAUUAAUGAAAUCCUUGACUUGCAAAUAUUUGAUUAAUUGCUAUUAGGACCCCAUGGUUUUAGAUAUUGGAUAAUAGCCCUUGGGUAAAUUUCCUCCUACUUUCCAAGCAUAAGUGAUGUAAUGUAAUUAGUAAUUCCUCCCCUUUUCUUCCUACCUUCCUACGGCAAUUGAUAGAACCCCAAUUUCUUCCCAAAAGUCUUCUCCUUCGGGAAGAAGAAAUCAGCAGCUGUCUCUAUCUCUCUCUCCCAUCUAUUUAUAUCUUCAAACACGGCAAAUAAAUCAAUGAUUUGUCAACUAAGAACUUCAGAGAAGCAGCCACGGGAUAACUCCAAGUUCAGGCCCAAAAGCCUUCAGCCAAAGCUUCGAGAAUCCUUCGGUUACCUCUUCUUCCUUGUAUUCGAUUUUCUUCAAAGAGUAUAGGAAGUCAGAAUCUUAAAUGGCUAUCGGUCGAGUAGACACGGAAAUACGGAGGGGCCGGUAUUCCAACUACGGUACUAUAGACUAUAGAGUGGAUAGCUUCCAUUAAUAAACGGGCUCAGAAUAUCGACGUCUAUUACCGAUAACCAUGUUAUGAAUCUGAUAGGUAUCCCGUCAUAUUGCAUUUAUGUGUUAUAUUUGUUAAUACAGACUAUAGGGACUUGAUGUCUAUAUGUACUACAGCUAAGUGGUCGUUGCAUCCCCAUGUUAAUAAACCAUUUUGUUUACGUGAGUACACCUUGUGAGUAUACGUUAAGCAGGGGAAACUCGUCGCCCAUGUCAAGGUUGAGGUUCUCGAAGCUGUUAUGGAAACUGGUGGAGCGGAGUUCGAGGAAUCACGAGCUUUUAUACCGACCGACUAUUUUCAAAGAUUAUAUCAGUCACUUUCUCGUUAAGUGUUUUAACUUGAGAAGUUUAUAGUUGUAUUUAUAAUGUACUCUCCUUAGGAAUCUAGUCUAUUAAACCGGGGUGUAUGUAAAAUAAAGUUAUUUUGUGUUCCGCUGUAUUACAAGUAUUGCUUUAAAACCCCGUCUAUGUUGAAGUAGCACUCUUUAUGAAAAUUAUAUCUUUCAAAUGUGGGUUAUGUUUUGAA